rnacentral:rRNA from 1 species
UACGUAGGCAGCAAGCGUUGUUCGGAGUUACUGGGCGUAAAGGGUGCGUAGGCGGCUUGGUAAGUGUGGUGUGAAAUCUCCCGGCUCAACUGGGAGGGUGCGCUACAAACUGCCGGGCUAGAGUGCGGGAGAGGAGAGUGGAAUUCCUGGUGUAGCGGUGAAAUGCGUAGAUAUCAGGAGGAACACCGGUGGUGUAAACGGCUCUCUGGACCGUAACUGACGCUGAGGCACGAAAGCGUGGGGAGCGAACAGG